rnacentral:rRNA from 1 species
AUGCACGCUGGCGGCGUGCCUAAUACCUGCAAGUCGCGCGAACGGACGAGAAGCUUGCUUCUCUGAUGUUAGCGGCGGACGGGUGAGUAACACGUGGAUAACCUACCUAUAAGACUGGGAUAACUUCGGGAAACCGUAGCUAAUACCGGAUAAUAUUUUGAACCGCAUGGUUCAAAAGUGAAAGACGGUCUUGCUGUCACUUAUAGAUGGAUCCGCGCUGCAUUAGCUAGUUGGUAAGGUAACGGCUUACCAAGGCAACGAUGCAUAGCCGACCUGAGAGGGUGAUCGGCCACACUGGAACUGAGACACGGUCCAGACUCCUACGGGAGGCAGCAGUAGGGAAUCUUCCGCAAUGGGCGAAAGCCUGACGGAGCAACGCCGCGUGAGUGAUGAAGGUCUUCGGAUCGUAAAACUCUGUUAUUAGGGAAGAACAUAUGUGUAAGUAACUGUGCACAUCUUGACGGUACCUAAUCAGAAGGCCACGGCUAACUACGUG